rnacentral:rRNA from 1 species
UGAGGAAUAUUGCACAAUGGGCGCAAGCCUGAUGCAGCAACGCCGCGUGCGGGACGAAGGCCUUCGGGUCGUAAACCGCUUUUCUGGGGGAAGAGCAAGGACGGUACCUCAGGAAUAAGUCUCGGCUAACUACGUGCCAGCAGCCGCGGUAAAACGUAGGAGGCGAGCGUUAUCCGGAUUUACUGGGCGUAAAGCGCACGCAGGCGGCUCUGUUAGUCGGACGUGAAAGCUCUCGGCUUAACCGGGAGAGGCCGUUCGAUACUGCGGGGGUGGAGGUAGGGAGAGGAAUGCGGAAUACCCGGUGUAGUGGUGGAAUGCGUAGAUAUCGGGAGGAACACCUGUGGCGAAAGCGGCAUUCUGGCCCUCACCUGACGGUGAGGUGCGAAAGCGUGGGUAGCAAACA